GCCCCCGUUGUGUCGCGGCCUAGCACGCCGCCCUCUCACGUCGGUAGCUCCGUUUCGAAUCCGGUCGGGGGUA
rnacentral:tRNA from 1 species